AUUGUUUCGGUGAAGUGAUGGUGGCUGAAACCCAUGCACAAACUAUUGCCUCCUGGCCUUAGGUUGUAUGUUUGGCUAUGCUUGUAACCACUUACACCAGUGGAAUAUCCUAACUGCUGCAUUCGGCCUCUGCUGCUGUUGCUGUACAAUAUCUGCGUUGUUCUCAGUAUCAGAACGAGCACAUAGACCUUCAGCGUCCCAGCGAUGUGCUCACCCAAGGCUGCAAGUAGUAAAAGAUAAGAGUGAAGAAUUAUAGUGUGGAUUUUAAAGCCAAGUAGCCCCAAAACAGAAGAGGGUGUGUAGGUCAAGUGUUUUCAUGAAACAGUUAGACGGAAAAUUCGAAGGUAAGU